rnacentral:rRNA from 1 species
AUUGAACGCUGGCGGCAGGCCUAACACAUGCAAGUCGAGCGGAUGAAGGGAGCUUGCUCCUGGAUUCAGCGGCGGACGGGUGAGUAAUGCCUAGGAAUCUGCCUGGUAGUGGGGGAUAACGUCCGGAAACGGGCGCUAAUACCGCAUACGUCCUGAGGGAGAAAGUGGGGGAUCUUCGGACCUCACGCUAUCAGAUGAGCCUAGGUCGGAUUAGCUAGUUGGUGGGGUAAAGGCCUACCAAGGCGACGAUCCGUAACUGGUCUGAGAGGAUGAUCAGUCACACUGGAACUGAGACACGGUCCAGAGUCCUACGGGAGGCAGCAGUGGGGAAUAUUGGACAGUGGGCGAAAGCCUGAUCCAGCCAUGCCGCGUGUGUGAAGAAGGUCUUCGGAUUGUAAAGCACUUUAAGUUGGGAGGAAGGGCAGUAAGUUAAUACCUUGCUGUUUUGACGUUACCAACAGAAUAAGCACCGGCUAACUUCGUG